rnacentral:rRNA from 1 species
AGUGAACGCUGGCGGUAGGCCUAACACAUGCAAGUCGAACGGCAGCACAGAGGAGCUUGCUCCUUGGGUGGCGAGUGGCGGACGGGUGAGGAAUACAUCGGAAUCUACUCUGUCGUGGGGGAUAACGUAGGGAAACUUACGCUAAUACCGCAUACGACCUACGGGUGAAAGCAGGGGAUCUACGGACCUUGCGCGAUUGAAUGAGCCGAUGUCGGAUUAGCUAGUUGGCGGGGUAAAGGUCCACCAAGGCGACGAUCCGUAGCUGGUCUGAGAGGAUGAUCAGCCACACUGGAACUGAGACACGGUCCAGACUCCUACGGGAGGCAGCAGUGGGGAAUAUUGGACAAUGGGCGCAAGCCUGAUCCAGCCAUACCGCGUGGGUGAAGAAGGCCUUCGGGUUGUAAAGCCCUUUUGUUGGGAAAGAAAUCCAUCUGGUUAAUACCCGGAUGGGAUGACGGUACCCAAAGAAUAAGCACCGGCUAACUUCGUGCCAGCAGCCGCCGUAA